GACGAACGCUGGCGGCGUGCUUAACACAUGCAAGUCGAACGGAAAGGCCCUGCUUUUGUGGGGUGCUCGAGUGGCGAACGGGUGAGUAACACGUGAGUAACCUGCCCUUGACUUUGGGAUAACUUCAGGAAACUGGGGCUAAUACCGGAUAGGAGCUACUGCUGCAUGGUGGGGGUUGGAAAGUUUCGGCGGUUGGGGAUGGACUCGCGGCUUAUCAGCUUGUUGGUGGGGUAGUGGCUUACCAAGGCUUUGACGGGUAGCCGGCCUGAGAGGGUGACCGGCCACAUUGGGACUGAGAUACGGCCCAGACUGCUACGGGAGGCAGCAGGGGAGAAUAUUGCACAGUGGGCGGGAGCCUGAUGCAGCAACGCCGCGUGCGGGAUGACGGCCUUCGGGUUGUAAACCGCUUUCGCCUGUGACGAAGCGUGAGUGACGGUAAUGGGUAAAGAAGCACCGGCUAACUACGUG
rnacentral:rRNA from 1 species